rnacentral:lncRNA from 1 species
GUUUCAGCCUCCGCACGUGACUCGCCAUGGCCGCUGCCUUCGCCCCGCGCCCCUGAGCCGCGGCCCCCCGGACUGCUCCUCUCCCGGGACCCCGCACCUCUGACGGCGAGCGCAGAGGUUAGGCGCAGGGUUAGGGCAGACGCCGUGCCCGCGGGCGCCCCGGACGGAUUGCGUCCCCCCACUUCGAGGUAACCUCUCUCCCGGGGAUUUUGGAGACCCCCCUGGCUCCCGCAGGCAACGGAGCCCCGUGGCCUGCUGUUGAGGGGAGCGGCGGGCGGGGACCAGGUGCCAGACGGGUUCCGACGGGAACCUGGGGAUUCCUGGGCUUCCCAAUCCGCCGCCGCCGUGCCCAGGGUGGGGGUGCCCCGUCUAUGUGUCUGUCUGCUCCCGUGUCUUCGCGCGCAGCCGUGAGGCGUCUGGGGCGGUCUGCCGCGCGUGUCCCCGGUGCCCGAGCUGUAGCAGAACCGCCGCUGGGAACCCCUGUUCUCUGUCUUUUCUCUUCAAAACCAAGCAAAACAAAAAGACUUUCAAACCUGUUUGGGGAGAGAUCGGAUGCCCAACGGACUAGCCCCCUCCUUCUUUCUCUCCUGUUAUCUGAGACGCCCUGUGGUUUGGGGAGAAUCAGCCCGCGGGCCCACCCCCAUCAGAGGCAGUCGGCUGGGGGGCGGGGCCCGCUCAGCUGGUGUCCCCCGUGGAGUGAGGGGAGCCGUCAGAAUUGGGUGCGGGAGCCAGUGCAGUAGGGGGAGGGAUGUCUCUGGGUUUGGUGCUACCAUGGGGUUGUGGAAGGUUUUUGGGCUGAGGGGAGGACGGAAUAGACUGGUCGUCGUCUUUGCUCUGAUGAGGGUAUCUAGGACCUGGUGCCACCCACGAGGCGCAAAAGCUGCUAGCCAGAUGUGGUGUUAUCUGUUCGUGUCCUCUGGUCCCAGCUGUUCAAACAGGGUGUGGAUCUGUGUACCCACCGGUGGGGGUGCACCUGGCCUUUCAUCUUCAGCCCACCUCCCACCCCCUCCAGGGAUGUGGCUUCUGCAGACAGGGUGUGUGGGUGAACUCUGAGAUCAGUCUCCCUCACCCCUUCAUUGCCUGUGAGUAGGGGGCUUCCGGCCGGGGCAGUCCCUGCCCUCCUGACACACUGCCUGCCCUCAGCCCAUCGUGCUGUUGGGCAUUGGAGGUGAUACCUAGGAGUCCUUGGUUCCCAUUUCCCUAUUUGUCUGUAGGUCAAUGGGCCUCCUCCCUGGGCCUGUGGGACAAACCCAUCUGGGGUGCUGGGGCUUGAUUUGGGGGGGAAGUGGUGUGAGAAGGGCCCCCUGGCUUAGGAGUCAUUUUUCUGAGAAGUACCAAUGCUUUAGGGAAGCAGCUUUUCCUCCCCCCCUCCCCUCAAGCACAC